UAUUCCUCAAUUGAACUACUGUUACGAGUUGCAGUUUUCUUAUGUUUAUAUGAAAAGUAUCAUAAGUGUUAAACAUCUGUGACUAAUAUGUCCUUUUUGCCUUCUCCUAUUUGGUUUAUAAGUUUGCAUUUGAUCUGGUGGUAGAAAAUAAUGACCCUUUAAUUAUAGUGGGGUGAUGUAGCUAAACAUGGUGGAUUUAUAGCCACAUGAAGGUAAGCUCGAAUUGUAAUAUGUGUCCAACUUUUAAGGUCACAGCCAAUAAUUUAUAGAGAUGUACUAUAAGGAGCUUUAUUUCACUAUGGAUCAAUGUUUUAAAAACAUGGAUCGUUCAUCAUCCUGGAAGGUGGCCUUUUUCCCAAUCCACCUCAGCUGAGCCUUCUUCUACCUCAGUGGUGCUCUCGAGUUCGUCUACACCGCUGCCAAAAGGUGGCCUUUUUCCCAAUCCACUGGUGGAUCACAAACUGAAGGCCGUGCAACCAGCCCAACUAUACCCAACAUAUGAUGGGUUCUCAUCUGGUUGACGACACAGUUCCCAUCCCUAACUUGCCUCCCCGACAACAUGACAAGAACUUUGUGCACCAACACUUGGAUUUUGACAUAGACCACCAUGCCCAGCCAGGUGUUUUUCCUAAACAGCGGCACUACGGCGAUGACUUAAGAACACACUGGAUUGAGGGUCUCUCACACCCACACACACGCUUGUGUUCA